CGGGGGCCGGCGGAGAGGCUCCUGGGUGGGUCUUUUUCUCGUGUCUGGGAGGGGGCAGUCCUGGGUGCCGGGCCUGCUGGGAUUUGAACCUCCAGACCAAACGCUCUCGUCAUCAGCUCUUACGUGCACUUCGUAUUUUAAUCUCCU